GCCUCUAUAGCUCAGUCGAUAGAACAGGAGACUCUAAAGCUUAGGGUCGUAGGUUCGAGCCCCACAUUGGGCA